CAACCCUCAAGCCUGGCUUGGUGUUGGGGCUCUGCGCACCGCAGUCCCUUAAAUUCAGUGGCGGACACGCUAGGUCUCCGAGCGCAGUAGUUUCUUCUCGCUUCGGGCGUCCGGCGUGGGCUUGCCUCGCACCCAACUUCUCAA
rnacentral:misc_RNA from 1 species